rnacentral:lncRNA from 1 species
UCCAGAGACCAUUGAGAUAAUGGAAUCUUCAGAAGAAAACAAAGAAGAAAGAGAUGAUGAUGAUGAUGAGCUUGAAAUCACUGGUGUAGGGAAAGAUGGAUUUAGGAGCUAUAUGUACACUCAACUGUUUUCCUACCUACCCAUGAUGGCAUACCAUCAAGCUCAAAUUCUAAACUCAUGGGAUCACAUGUUCUGGAGCUUCAAGGAAAAUCCAGCAAUCUAAG